CCUACGGGUGGCAGCAGUGGGGAAUAUUGGACAAUGGGGGGAACCCUGAUCCAGCCAUGCCGCGUGUGUGAAGAAGGCCCUCGGGUUGUAAAGCACUUUCAGUGAGGAAGAACGCCUGGUGGUUAAUACCCAUCAGGAAAGACAUCACUCACAGAAGAAGCACCGGCUAACUCCGUGCCAGCAGCCGCGGUAAUACGGAGGGUGCGAGCGUUAAUCGGAAUUACUGGGCGUAAAGCGCGCGUAGGUGGCUUGAUAAGCCGGUUGUGAAAGCCCCGGGCUCAACCUGGGAACGGCAUCCGGAACUGUCAAGCUAGAGUGCAGGAGAGGAAGGUAGAAUUCCCGGGGUAGCGGUGAAAUGCGUAGAGAUCGGGAGGAAUACCAGUGGCGAAGGCGGCCUUCUGGACUGACACUGACACUGAGGUGCGAAAGCGUGGGUAGCAAACAGGAUUAGAUACCCUAGUAGUC
rnacentral:rRNA from 1 species